rnacentral:rRNA from 1 species
CGGGAAAAGCUCAAAUUUGAAAUCUGGCGGUUCUGCCGUCCGAGUUGUAUUCUGGAGAAGAUGCUUCGGGUGUGGCCCCGGUCUAAGUUCCUUGGAACAGGACGUCACAGAGGGUGAGAAUCCCGUACGUGCCCGGUGGCCGCGCCCGUGUGAAGCUCUUUCGAC